GACGAACGCUGGCGGCGUGCUUAACACAUGCAAGUCGAACGGAAAGGCCCUGCUUUUGUGGGGUGCUCGAGUGGCGAACGGUUUAGUAACACGUGAGUAACCUGCCCUUGACUUUGGGAUAACUUCAGGAAACUGGGGCUAAUACCGGAUAGGAGCUCCUGCUGCAUGGUGGGGGUUGGAAAGUUUCGGCGGUUGGGGAUGGACUCGCGGCUUAUCAGCUUGUUGGUGGGGUAGUGGCUUACCAAGGCUUUGACGGGUAGCCGGCCUGAGAGGGUGACCGGCCACAUUGGGACUGAGAUACGGCCCAGACUCCUACGGGAGGCAGCAGUGGGGAAUAUUGCACAAUGGGCGGAAGCCUGAUGCAGCAACGCCGCGUGCGGGAUGACGGCCUUCGGGUUGUAAACCGCUUUCGCCUGUGACGAAGCGUGAGUGACGGUAAUGGGUAAAGAAGCACCGGCUAACUACGUGCCAGCAGCCGCGGUGAUACGUAGGGUGCGAGCGUUGUCCGGAUUUAUUGGGCGUAAAGGGCUCGUAGGUGGUUGAUCGCGUCGGAAGUGUAAUCUUGGGGCUUAACCCUGAGCGUGCUUUCGAUACGGGUUGACUUGAGGAAGGUAGGGGAGAAUGGAAUUCCUGGUGGAGCGGUGGAAUGCGCAGAUAUCAGGAGGAACACCAGUGGCGAAGGCGGUUCUCUGGGCCUUUCCUGACGCUGAGGAGCGAAAGCGUGGGGAGCGAACAGGCUUAGAUACCCUGGUAGUCCACGCUGUAAACGGUGGGUACUAGGUGUGGGGUCCAUUCCACGGGUUCCGUGCCGUAGCUAACGCUUUAAGUACCCCGCCUGGGGAGUACGGCCGCAAGGCUAAAACUCAAAGGAAUUGACGGGGCCCCGCACAAGCGGCGGAGCAUGCGGAUUAAUUCGAUGCAACCCGUAGAACCUUACCCGGGUUUGACAUGGAUCGGGAGUGCUCAGAGAUGGGUGUGCCUCUUUUGGGGUCGGUUCACAGGUGGUGCAUGCCUGUCGUCAGCUCGUGUCGUGAGAUGUUGGGUUAAGUCCCGCAACGAGCGCAACCCUUGUUCACUGUUGCCAGCACGUUAUGGUGGGGACUCAGUGGAGACCGCCGGGGUCAACUCGGAGGAAGGUGGGGAUGACGUCAAGUCCUCAUGCCCCUUAUGUCCAGGGCUUCACGCAUGCUACAAUGGCUGGUACAGAGAGUGGCGAGCCUGUGAGGGUGAGCGAAUCUCGGAAAGCCGGUCUCAGUUCGGAUUGGGGUCCGCAACUCGACCUCAUGAAGUCGGAGUCGCUAGUAAUCGCAGAUCAGCAACGCUGCGGUGAAUACGUUCCCGGG
rnacentral:rRNA from 1 species